UUGCAGAGGAGACCUCAGGCAUCAAUGUGUUGGCUCUGCCUCAUCCACCAUCCUGAGGAGUCGGUUGGAAUCCCAGAGGUCACUCUAAAAACCAAACCUCAUGCAGGGCAGUGCAGAAGAUUAACAGGGAAGCUGGAUCCUGGCUCUGGAGGCUGGUGACACUGAGAGGCUGCUGAAGGAUAUGAGGUAUUUCAUUUUCAGUCUGGACAUGGGGAAAGAAGUUAAAUGAGUUUCUAAAGGUGUUGGAUAUGAUCCUUUGCAAGCUAUCAACUGGUAACGUGCACAGCACAAAAU